CGGACGGGUGAGUAAUGCUUGGGAAUCUGGCUUAUGGAGGGGGAUAACUACGGGAAACUGUAGCUAAUACCGCGUAGUAUCGAAAGAUGAAAGUGUGGGACCGCAAGGCCACAUGCCAUGAGAUGAGCCCAAGUGGGAUUAGGUAGUUGGUUAGGUAAGGCUGACCAAGCCGACGAUCUCUAGCUGGUCUGAGAGGAUGACCAGCCACACUGGAACUGAGACACGGUCCAGACUCCUACGGGAGGCAGCAGUGGGGAAUAUUGCACAAUGGGGGAAACCCUGAUGCAGCCAUGCCGCGUGAAUGAAGAAGGCCUUCGGGUUGUAAAGUUCUUUCGGUGAUGAGGAAGGUGCUUGUUUUAAUAGGACAAGCAAUUGACGUUAGUCACAGAAGAAGCACCGGCUAACUCCGUGCCAGCAGCCGCGGUAAUACGGAGGGUGCGAGCGUUAAUCGGAAUAACUGGGCGUAAAGGGCACGCAGGCGGUGACUUAAGUGAGAUGUGAAAGCCCCGAGCUUAACUUGGGAAUUGCAUUUCAUACUGGGUCGCUAGAGUACUUUAGGGAGGGGUAGAAUUCCACGUGUAGCGGUGAAAUGCGUAGAGAUGUGGAGGAAUACCGAAGGCGAAGGCAGCCCCUUGGGAAUGUACUGACGCUCAUGUGCGAAAGCGUGGGGAGCAAACAGGAUUAGAUACCCUGGUAGUCCACGCUGUAAACGCUGUCGAUUUGGGGAUUGGGCUUAGAGCUUGGUGCCC
rnacentral:rRNA from 1 species